rnacentral:misc_RNA from 1 species
GUUGUGGUUAACAGCAAUGAUUCCAAAAGCAAGACCUCCGCCUUGUAAUCAAUCAGGACAGGUUUGUAAAUCUACAACGACAUCACAAUACAUGCUUUUGAUUUUCUCGUUUCUGCUCAUGUCAAUUGGUGCUGGAGGUAUAAGAUCGUCUUCUUCAGCCUUUGGUGCUAACCAGUUAGACAAGGGAGAUAGUAAUCCCAACAAGUAUACGAUGUUAGAAAGCUUCUUUACCUGGUAUUAUACUUUAUCCAUAGCUUCUGUCCUGAUUGCCCUUACGGGCAUCGUUUACCUACAAGACAGACUCGGGUGGAAAAUAGGUUUUGG